UUGUUUUUCCAGUCUGACAUACGUGCAUUUACCAGUGAAGUUGUCCUGGCUAAAACACCUGCCAGCAGCGUCUACCUGGGCAUCAACCUUCAUCCCAUCGACUCCCCUAGGCUCCAGUACAGUGCCCUUUGCCAGCAGGAAGUAGUUAAAGAGAGAAAUCUUCGCCCCUUUUCAUAAUAAUAACCAUAAGACGGGAUAUGAAAGGUUUGGCCCAGACAGGACACUGUAGCCAGGAAAGCCACAACCGGAAGCAGGAAGCCCCAUCUUGCCCUGCCCCUAGGAAGUUACCUGUGACGCCAUCUUCCCGCCCCUGGGAAUUUACAUAUGGCGCCAAACCUAGGACCAAUGGGCUACCUAUGUAUCCCUAAUGCCCGCCUUAGGUUCCACCCCAAACCGAGGCUAUUUACAGGCCCCCACGCCGCGUGUCCGCCGGAGAGAUCGCCGGACGCCAGCGGUGGGGGUUGCCGGUCAUCUCUCUCCGUGUUCUCAGAAUAAAGGCCGCUUUUUAUUUUA